UGGUGGCCAGGGUAGAGGGAGAAGAGGAAGAGGAGAUAGAGAAAGAUGAGAUAGAGAAAGAAGAGCUGAAGAUGUAGGAGGAAGAGCGAGAAGAGCUGAGGAUGUAGGAAGAGGACAAGAGUUUGAAGAGAUGGAUAGAUUGGAGGGCAAUGGUAUAGUGGAAAGAGAAAAUAUAAGAGGUGGACAGGGAGGAAGAGGAGGGCAAAGAGGAAGAGGAGGGAGGAGAGGUAGAAUGAGGGUAGGGUACACGCGUGUUUCAAAUGAAAUCAGAGCCACACUUAUUGACCAUGUCAUAAAUCAUGAGCUCUCACUGAGAGAAGCUGGCCAGAGAGUUCAGCCCAAUAUAAACAGAUCCACAGUGGCUUCAAUUAUCUGUGCAUUUCAGAGGGAAAACCGAAUUGAAGUUCAGGUGGACGAACAAGACUUUUUUCAGUUGAACAAGAGCAUGCCAUUGUUGACAUGGUGGUCCAGAACAACACCCUCCGCCUCAAAGAAAUUCAGCAAAGAAUAACACAGGACAAUCAACUGUUCCACAAUAUCCACCAAUGCAGUCGCUCCACAAUUGACCGUGUUCUAAGAAGAAAUGCUAUCCGAAUGAAGCAAGUAUACAAAGUGCCCUUUGAGAGGAACCCCAUUAGAGUGAAGGAGUUGCGAUUCCAGUUUGUUCAAAGAAUCUUGGAGUUGGAUAGCAGUGCAACUCAUUAUGAGCACCUGUAUAUUGAUGAAGCAGGCUUCAAUCUUCAAAAAAAAGGAGAAGAGGGAGAAAUGUGAUUGGCCAUCGUGCUACAGUCAAUGUCCCUGGACAAUGAGGAGGCAACAUCACUCUCUGUGCAGCAAUUUCUACAACUGUUGUUGUGGCACACAAUGCUGUCUUGGGACCAUACAACACAGCAAGGCUCCUAUAUUUUUAA